GCGCCCCUAGCUCAGUUGGAUAGAGCGACUGGCUACGAACCAGUAGGUCGGGAGUUCGAAUCUCUCGGGGCGCACCA
rnacentral:tRNA from 1 species